CGGGCUUAACAGCCUGUGGCGGAAUGUUGCGUUAAGGGAGAGGUCGCUUUGAAACCCCACAGUCACGCGAUCGCUAAGUCCUGCCACGAGUGGCGUUCCCGACGAAAGGAGGGAUUGUGGCGCCGUGGAGGGUGACAGUCCCGUGUGGACGCGUGCGAUUGCUGUGCGAGGGUAAGGCCUUCCUCCCUGUGAGUCGCGUUGCUUGCACAUGCAGCGCUAAGCAGGUCGUAAACUCGAUCUAAGGCUAAAUACAUYCACAGAACCGAUAGCGAACAAGUACCGUAAGGGAAAGUUGAAAAGAACUCUGGAGAGAGAGUCAAAAGACCGUGAAACCGCUCAGAGUAUAAGCCGAUGGCGCUAGAAGGCAACCGGUGGCACGGCGGUCUUGGUUUCGACUGGGGUCGCCCGAAAUGCCUGAGAAUUGGGUAGUUGGAGGAGUAGCAUUGGGUUGCUCAUAUCCAUCAGGCGAGCCUGUUCAUGGGUGAACACAAGUGGUGUCGUUCUGCUGGCGGGCUCGUUGCUGGACGAUUCUCUCGAGGCAUCACACGGUUAUUGCCCACCACAGCUCGUUGCUUGGUCACCCGCUGGCUCUAGGUGUGCAGAGGCUUCAUCCAGGAUCCGGGUAAUUUUCGAGGCGCGUGGAUGGGCGUGUUGUUAUGUCGGCCUUGACUUGCGCUGACACACGCACGCUCGCGCUGUGCUCGCGCCAUCCUGGCUCUGACUGCCGACUUAGAGGUGGUGUGAUCCACUCGGCGACGAUGCUGCAAUUGGCCAGACAUAUGCAGCCCUCAGCUUCGCCACCAUGUGCCGGUGGCGGAGUACCCGCGGGCAGGCUGCAUGCGUCACAUGCGAAGUAAACGCUCAGCCUGGGGGGCUGGUCUGAUUGGUGAUGCUCUGGCGACCAUCGGUCACGUCUCGAAACACGGGCCAAGGAGUAUAGCAUGUGUGCAAGUCUAAGGGUCUCACAAAACUCGAGGGCGAAGUGAAAGCAAAGGUGUGGCGGCGCUUGCGCCGUCAGCCGUCUCGUGAUGGUUGCUAGUACCGAGCUGAUCCUGCCUCCCAUAUUGGGGGCUGGCGCAAGCUCCGGGCUCGCAUUGUUGUUCGGCGAACUUCCUCUUCGCGGGGUUGUGAGCUGGACGGUGAGCACCGCGGAGCAUGCAUGCUAUGACCCGAAAGAUAGUGAACUAUGCCUGGCGAGGGUGAAGCCCCAGGAAACUGGGGUGGAG
rnacentral:rRNA from 1 species